UCAGCAUCUGUUUGUGAUGUUUCAUCAAUUGUGGUAACUAACUCUUCCUUUGUAGGAUGUGAUUCGGCAAUCGAUCAGCAAGUUUUCCUUCACACAAUCAUCAUCGGUUUGGCCUGCAUACCGACAAGCUUCUGGUUACCACUCUGUGUACACAGACUUGGAGUCAAAUUCUUUCUGGUUUUCAGUUUAACGGCAGCUGGAUUUGUUAC
rnacentral:sRNA from 1 species